CUUCCUACGGGGGGCAGCAGUGAGGAAUAUUGGUCAAUGGCCGCAGGGCUGAACCAGCCAAGUCGCGUGAGGGAUGACGGUCCUAUGGAUUGUAAACCUCUUUUGUCAGGGAGCAAAGGGCGCCACGUGUGGCGUUUUGCGAGUACCUGAAGAAAAAGCAUCGGCUAACUCCGUGCCAGCAGCCGCGGCAAUACGGAGGAUGCGAGCGUUAUCCGGAUUUAUUGGGUUUAAAGGGUGCGUAGGCGGGCUUUUAAGUCAGCGGUAAAAAUUCGGGGCUCAACCCCGUCCGGCCGUUGAAACUGGGG
rnacentral:rRNA from 1 species